UUUCCAACAUCUAAGGAACAUCCUUUGUACAGAGACUCCUACUGGAUUCAAGCUUGAAUUCUUCUUUGAUUCCAAUCCUUACUUUAAAGAUUCCGUGCUCACGAAAACAUUUAUGAUAAUUCGUGGUAACAAGCAUGAAGUGACGAAUGCAAUUGGGAUGGAAAUUGAGUGGUAUCUUGGUAAAAGCCUGACCGACACAGAAAAUGGUGACAGCUUCUUCAACUUUUUUAAGACCCCUGUUGCCAACAGUACUGCUGAAGAUGUCCAAACACUAAUGCAUCAUGAUUAUUGCAUUGG